UGGGCUUACUUCCAAUUCUACUAGAGUGACAUGAUCAUUGGACUCAAUUAAGGGCCCUCCUUCCUUAUGGUUCCUCCCAAACCAGACAAUGAGGACACCAGAUCGGGAACCUCUCCUUCUCAUUGCUGACCCUCCACCCCACACCGGCUAAUCUUCUCUAGGACCCCCUUUGAGCCUUCGCCAACCAGUCUCUCAGGGAAUCAUGCUGCGGCAACCCCUCACUCCAACCAAAAGGCAUCUGUACAGUGUUCCAGCCGACUGCUAUCAAAGUCCAUCCCCUUUUGAUCUCGAUGUCCCCUCUCAGCGGAAAAUAACUAUGGAGGAAAUGACAUCUGUCCCUAUUCCAUAAAACAAAAAGGCUGGAAUGUUAGGUCUGAUAAAAUAAUCGAAUUGAUACUCUUCCCCCGGGAAACUGACCUUUAGAUCAUUUUGAAACUGACAUUCCCUUUCGCUUAGACCACAUUCUAUUUGCUAAAACCAGUAACUUUCCCCUCCGGACUUGCCCAGGAUCUGGACCCACCCAGAGAAUUCCAUGCUGAAAAAGCCCAUCUAGAGUCCUUUAAAAUCUCUGACUUCCCAUCCCUGAGUCAGGGAUGUUAUCUGGGGGCUCAGACCAUCUGGUUUCCAGAUGACCUAAUAAAUUUACAAUUUUUUUUACCA